UCCAGCUCAUCGCCGGCGGUCUCUACCGAGUGCACUGAGAUUGCUCCCAGUUAGCAACAGCAGACGUGGGUUGCGCUCGUUGCGGGACUUAACCCAACACUUCACAGCACGAGCUGACGACAGCCAUGCACCACCUGUGCUAGCUCCCGACUUAACGGGUCCUUCCCCUUUCAGUUCAGUACUUCUAGCAUGUCAAACCUAGGUAAGGUUCUACGCGUAGCAUCGAAUUGAACCACAUGUUCCACCGCUUGUGCGGGCCCCCGUCAAUUCCUUUGAGUUUCAUCCUUGCGGACGUACUCCCCAGGUGGAGGACUUAAUGGGUUACCGUCGGCAAUGACUCUAAACGAGCCAUCACCUAGUCCUCAACGUUUACGGCGUGGACUAC
rnacentral:misc_RNA from 1 species